rnacentral:rRNA from 1 species
GAUGAACGCUGGCGGCGUGCCUAAUACAUGCAAGUCGAGCGAACAGACGAGGAGCUUGCUCCUCUGACGUUAGCGGCGGACGGGUGAGUAACACGUGGAUAACCUACCUAUAAGACUGGGAUAACUUCGGGAAACCGGAGCUAAUACCGGAUAAUAUAUUGAACCGCAUGGUUCAAUAGUGAAAGACGGUUUUGCUGUCACUUAUAGAUGGAUCCGCGCCGCAUUAGCUAGUUGGUAAGGUAACGGCUUACCAAGGCAACGAUGCGUAGCCGACCUGAGAGGGUGAUCGGCCACACUGGAACUGAGACACGGUCCAGACUCCUACGGGAGGCAGCAGUAGGGAAUAUUCCGCAAUGGGCGAAAGCUUGACGGAGCAACGCCGCGUGAGUGAUGAAGGUCUUCGGAUCGUAAAACUCUGUUAUUAGGGAAGAACAAAUGUGUAAGUAACUAUGGACGUCUUGACGGUACCUAAUCAGAAAGCCACGGCUAACUACGUG